CCUCGGAGAGUUUGAUCCUGGCUCAGGACGAACGCUGGCGGCGUGCCUAAUACAUGCAAGUCGAGCGAACAGAAGGGAG
rnacentral:rRNA from 1 species